UACGUAGGGCGCAAGCGUUGUCCGGAAUUAUUGGGCGUAAAGAGCUCGUAGGCGGUUUGUCGCGUCUGCCGUGAAAACCCGAUGCUUAACGUCGGGCUUGCGGUGGGUACGGGCAGGCUAGAGUGCGGUAGGGGUGACUGGAAUUCCUGGUGUAGCGGUGGAAUGCGCAGAUAUCAGGAGGAACACCGAUGGCGAAGGCAGGUCACUGGGCCGUUACUGACGCUGAGGAGCGAAAGCAUGGGGAGCGAAC
rnacentral:rRNA from 2 species